CACGUAGGGGGCAAGCGUUGUCCGGAUUUAUUGGGCGUAAAGAGCUCGUAGGCGGCUCAGUAAGUCAGGUGUGAAACCUCCAGGCUCAACCUGGAGACGCCACCUGAUACUGCUGUGGCUUGAGUCCGGUAGGGGAGCGUGGAAUUCCUGGUGUAGCGGUGAAAUGCGCAGAUAUCAGGAGGAACACCAGCGGCGAAGGCGGCGCUCUGGGCCGGUACUGACGCUGAGGAGCGAAAGCGUGGGUAGCAAACGGG
rnacentral:rRNA from 1 species